ACCGCCUCCUGCAAGUGGGUGUCUGGAAAUCAGCCAGACAAAAGAGCAAACGCAGAACAGCAUGCAGCCGCUAAGAAAAAGAGACGGCGAAAGCGGCUCAAGUUCCACCAGCCAAGGUGCACACGGGACGGAAGU